UGGCGGCAGUAGCGCGGUGGUCCCACCUGACCCCAUGCCGAACUCAGAAGUGAAACGCCGUAGCGCCGAUGGUAGUGUGGGGUCUCCCCAUGCGAGAGUAGGGAACUGCCAGAUA
rnacentral:rRNA from 1 species